rnacentral:rRNA from 1 species
CGCCUUCUUAAAGAAGACAAGGAGCUGGUAUCAGGCACGCACAGCAGCCCAUGACACCUUGCUAAGCCACACCCCCAAGGGAACUCAGCAGUGAUAAACAUUAAGCAAUAAGUGAAAACUUGACUUAGUAAAAGCUAAUAAGGGCCGGUUAAACUCGUGCCAGCCACCGCGGUUAUACGAGAGGCCCAAGUUGAUAAAAUACGGCGUAAAGCGUGGUUAAAAGCCCCCACUAAACUAAGACUAAACCUUUCCAAAGCUGUUAUACGCACCCGGAAAUAUGAAACUCAACUACGAAAGUGGCCUUAAUUUCCCCUUGACCCCACGAAAGCUGCGAAACAAACUGGGAUUAGAUACCCCACUAUGCACAGCCAUAAACUUUGAUAGAAAACUACAAAUUCUAUCCGCCCGGGAACUACGAGCAUAAGCUUAAAACCCAAAGGACUUGGCGGUGCUUUAGACCCCCCUAGAGGAGCCUGUUCUAGAACCGAUAACCCCCGUUAGAC